rnacentral:rRNA from 1 species
CGCCUCUUGCAUCUAUAUAAGAGGUCCAGCCUGCCCAGUGACUAAGUUCAACGGCCGCGGUAUCCUAACCGUGCGAAGGUAGCGUAAUCACUUGUUCUUUAAAUGAGGACUAGUAUGAAUGGCACCACGAGGGUUAUGCUGUCUCCUUUUUCUAAUCAAUGAAACUGAUCUCCCCGUGAAGAAGCGGGGAUGAAAUUAUAAGACGAGAAGACCCUAUGGAGCUUUAAACCAUGUAACACUGGCUCAAACAUUAAAAUAUUCCAGAAUUUUCAUAACUACUCUAGCCAUUAUGAUUACUAGUUUUAGGUUGGGGUGACCACGGAGCAAAAAUUAACCUCCAUGUUGAACGGAGCUACUCCUGAGCCAAAAGCCACGACUUUAAGCACUAAUAAAUUAACAUUAAUUGACCCAAUAUUUUUGAUCAACGAACCAAGUUACCCUAGGGAUAACAGCGCA